UCCCCUCCACAUUUGGUGAAAUAGGAAGC
rnacentral:piRNA from 1 species